rnacentral:rRNA from 1 species
AACGAACGCUGGCGGCAUGCCUAACACAUGCAAGUCGAACGAGACCUUCGGGUCUAGUGGCGCACGGGUGCGUAACACGUGGGAAUCUGCCCUUUGCUUCGGAAUAACAGUUAGAAAUGACUGCUAAUACCGGAUGAUGUCGAAAGACCAAAGAUUUAUCGGCAAAGGAUGGGCCCGCGUAGGAUUAGGUAGUUGGUGGGGUAAAGGCCUACCAAGCCGACGAUCCUUAGCUGGUCUGAGAGGAUGAUCAGCCACACUGGGACUGAGACACGGCCCAGACUCCUACGGGAGGCAGCAGUGGGGAAUAUUGGACAAUGGGCGAAAGCCUGAUCCAGCAAUGCCGCGUGAGUGAUGAAGGCCUUAGGGUUGUAAAGCUCUUUUACCAGGGAUGAUAAUGACAGUACCUGGAGAAUAAGCUCCGGCUAACUCCGUG